rnacentral:lncRNA from 1 species
GAUGUUCUGGUACCGGAAGGGAGACAAGGAGGUUAUUCCAGCUACCAUGGGACUAGUCCCUUCGGACCUGACCGGCCUGGGGCAACGCGACUCAGGGUUCUACGAGCACAGGAGGAGUUCUGUGGUGCUGAACCUACCUGGACUUGAGGUGUUCCCUGGAGACCUUCUGGUAUCAGCUGGGGCUGCUGAUUACUUGUACCACCCGCUUCUGCUGCUGAAUUCAGGUCCUGCUCAUUCUGCAUACCUUCAUUGCAUGCUUGCUGCGGGACAGUCAUGUAAUAAGCAGGGGUAGUUCCAAAAUAUUUAAUAAGUAGUGGGAUAUGUGCAC